UACUAAAGUUGUUGCGGUUAAAAAGCUCGUAGUUGAAAUUGUGUCCUGCGGCGUCGGUCUACCGAUUGCGGUACGACAGGCGCGUCUGCGGGGCUUCUCGCCGGUGCGUGUCAUCCGCCGGUACGUCGCCGUCGCACCUUAACGGGUCGGCGUGCGGCGUCGAGGCGGGCCCUCGCGGCUGUUUACUUUGAACAAAUUAGAGUGCUCAAAGCGGGCUAUUAUUUGCCUGAAUAUUGUGCGCAUGGAAUAAUAGAAUAGGACCUCGGUUCUGUUUUGUUGGCUUUCUGAUACCAGAGGUAAUGAUUAAUAGGGACAACUGGGGGCAUUCGUAUUGCGACGUUAGAGGUGAAAUUCUUGGAUCGUCGCAAGACGGACUAAAGCGAAAGCAUUUGCCAAAGGUGUUUUCAUUAAUCAAGAACGAAAGUUAGAGGUUCGAAGGCGAUUAGAUACCGCUGUAGUUCUAACCAUAAAUGAUGCCAGCCAGCGAUCCGCCGAAGUUUUUUUAUUUGAUUCGGUGGGCAGCUCCCGGGAAACCAAAGCUUUC
rnacentral:rRNA from 1 species